CCCACCUGACCCCAUGCCGAACUCAGAAGUGAAACACCGUAGCGCCGAUGGUAGUGUGGGGUCUCCCCAUGUGAGAGUAGGGAACUGCCAGGC
rnacentral:rRNA from 1 species